GGUUGAUCCUGCCAGUGGUGAUAAGCUUAUGUCCAAGAUUAAGCCAUGCAAGUAAAAGUGCCAACUUGUUCGUUCUUCGGAACUAAGUUGAACUGCGGACUACUCAUUGCAAUGUUUUGAAAAAAGCUGAAAAGACGUGAAAGGGAUAUAUACGGCAAAUCUGGGUCUAAUACAGAAUAACGUACACCUAGCUAUGGAUAAAGAAAUCGAAGAGAAUGGCCGUCCACUUUUUGCGGAUUGACAGCCGGAACCAACACCAUUUUCUGGUUGGUGGUGUAUUGGUGCAAAUAGG
rnacentral:rRNA from 1 species